UAUUAUCAUCAUCAUCAUCAUCAUCAUCAUCAUCAUUACCAUCAUCGCCGUCAAAGCCAUGCAAAGCUUCCCCUGCAUCUAUCUUGCUGAAAAGACUUUAGGACUAGGUUGUUGUUAUUAUUGUUAUCAUCAUCAUUAUAUCACUAUCAAAAACUUUAGAACCAGACUGUUGUUGUUGUUGUUGUUGUUAUUGUUAUCAUCAUCAUUAUAUCACUAUCAAAAACUUUAGAACCAGACUGUUGUUGUUCUUGUUGUUGUUGUUAUCAUCAUCAUCAUCAUCACCAUCAUCGCCGUCAAAGCCAUGCAAAGCCGCCCCUGCAUCAAUCAUGCUGAAAAGACUUUAGGACUAGGUUGUUGUUAUUAUUGUUAUCAUCAUCAUCAUCACCGGAGCAGUACCUAUUCAUCUACUCACAUUUGUAUGUUUUUGAACUGCUAGGUUGGCAGAAGCUGGAGCUAACAGCAAGCGCUCACUCUCUCCGAAUUCGAACCUGCAGCCUUUUGGUCUGCAAAUUCAGCAGCUCAGCGCUUUAACACACUGCGCCACCGGGGUCUCCAAUAAUAAUAAUAAUACUUUAUUUAUAUACUGCCCUAUCUCCUCAGGGGACUCAGGGCGUAGAUAGAUAGGUAUAUCUAUCUAUCUACAGUAGAGUCUCACUUAUCCAAGCCUCGCUUAUCCAAGGUUCUGGAUUAUCCAAGGCAUUUUUGUAGUCAAUGUUUUCAAUAUAUCGUGAUAUUUUGGUGCUAAAUUCGUUAAUACAGUAAUUGCAACAUAACAUUACUGCGUAUUGAACUACUUUUUCUGUCAAAUUUGUUGUAAAACAUGAUGUUUUGGUGCUUAAUUUGUAAAAUCAUAACCUAAUUUGAUGUUUAAUAGGCUCUUCCUUAAUCCCUCCUUAUUGUCCAAGAUAUUCGCUUAGCCAAGCUUCUGCCGGCCCCUUUAUGUUGGAUAAGUGAGACUCUACUGUAUAUAGAAACCCUCUGCUAAAAAGCAGCCAAUCAGUUGUCAAUAGUCCAUCUGAACAAAAAGAAAGAAAGUUCUGACAAUCCGUAACCUCCUGGGAGCCGCCACCGAGAAGGCCCUUCCCUUUUUAUUCCCAUCCAAAGAACCCAAAAAAAGGUCUUGUUUUAUGGGUUGAAAUCUCUCCGGACUUUUGGAUCUCAGAGCCACAGCUGCCUGGGUGCCAAGCAAGGAAAAUCAGGUCUUGGAUUUUGCAUUGGUUAUAAAUAGCCGGCUGUAAACACCCACUUGAAGGGUCCCUUUCCUUUUUGAAGGCCAAAGCAUGCACAUGGCUGCAUCCUACCAAACCCUAUUCCUGAAACCCCCAAAAUUGGAUUUUCCUAUCAAUCCCGGCUCACCCUUCUUGGCCUUU
rnacentral:lncRNA from 1 species